GAUGAACGCUGGCGGCGUGCCUAAUACAUGCAAGUCGAGCGAACAGACGAGGAGCUUGCUCCUCUGACGUUAGCGGCGGACGGGUGAGUAACACGUGGAUAACCUACCUAUAAGACUGGGAUAACUUCGGGAAACCGGAGCUAAUACCGGAUAAUAUAUUGAACCGCAUGGUUCAAUAGUGAAAGACGGUUUUGCUGUCACUUAUAGAUGGAUCCGCGCUGCAUUAGCUAGUUGGUAAGGUAACGGCUUACCAAGGCAACGAUGCGUAGCCGACCUGAGAGGGUGAACGGCCACACUGGAACUGAGACACGGUCCAGACUCCUACGGGAGGCAGCAGUAGGGAAGCUUCCGCAAUGGGCGAAAGCCUGACGGAGCAACGCCGCGUGAGUGAUGAAGGUCUUCGGAUCGUAAAACUCUGUUAUUAGGGAAGAACAAAUGUGUAAGUAACUAUGCACGUCUUGACGGUACCUAAUCAGAAAGCCACGGCUAACUACGUG
rnacentral:rRNA from 1 species